GGUAUUUUUUUUCAUCCAGUAGGAGUACAUUAUUUUAUUAUUUAAAUCGGACAAGCUUUUCCAAAUAUAAUCAAAAAUCACAUAUAUUUUUUUUGUGCCAAUCAAUGAAAUACAUACGUCUAGAAAACUGCACAAAGAUGUCAAAUUGGCAGCUGUCUGCGCCUUAAACACUUUAAUAAUU